CGGAUUGUAGUCUGCAACCCGACUACAUGAAGCUGGAAUCGCUAGUAAUCGCGAAUCAGAAUGUCGCGGUGAAUACGUUCCCGGGCCUUGUACACACCGCCCGUCACACCAUGGGAGUCGGAAAUGCCCGAAGUCAGUGACCUAACCGAAAGGGAGGAGCUGCCGAAGGUGGAGCCGGUAACUGGGGUGAAGUCGUAACAAGGUAGC
rnacentral:rRNA from 1 species